GAGGGAACUUGACAGAACUUGCAAAGACACAAUUGCUAAGCCGCUUCCACCGGCUCGCUUUCUACCGAAACCGCGGCGGGGGGCGGGCUCGGCGGCAGGGAGAGCGGGGGGCUCCGGGGGCAGGAGCAGCGGCACCUCGCCCUCCUCGGCCCAAAGAGACCGCAAAGUGUCUAAAAUUCAUUACUUGGCACUUAUCGAAAUUUGCGACGUCGGAAACGGAUUGACAAAAGGUGAAGCAAACCUGAGCGAAACAAAAUAUAUUGUACUGACAACAAAUGUAAUGAAAUAACAGCAUCUUUUUUUUUUCUUUUUUAAAUAACUUAAAAUACACUAGAAAAAAUAUGGUCAAUAUAAAUAAUUUCGUUUUCAUGGAGAACAAAUAGAUACAAAGCCCGUCCAUACCAAAGUUCGCGCAGAAGAGCUUUCCCUCGUUGCCGGCAAGGAGCAGGAGGGGCCGAUGGCCAGCUGGGAGAGCAGCCACCCCUCGAGGACAAGAGGGACCCAGCGAGGGAGGCACACGCCGCGCUCCUGACGCUUUCCGCUCCCUUUCAUUUCAGAGGUGGGACAGCGAACGACCAGCAAAGAUUUAAGAGUGGAAAAGGCAGUGCUUGAUCUCCCUCUCUUUCUGCUUCCCUCCAAGAUUAAAAGCGAAAGAACCCAGCCACGUUUGUUUGUUUUGUUUUUCUACUAAAGAUGAGGGUGAAGUGCAAGUGAAUCAAAGGACUCCAUCAAUGAAAUACAAAUACAUGCAACCCGGAAUGCUGCUGGAGGAAGUAUCCCGGACAGUUUCCCAUUAAAAAUUCGCAGAGAAAUCAUUGUCUCUCUCUCUCUUCCGUUUUUGUUUUUUUUUUUUUUCUUUCUUUCUUUCUUCUUCGUCGUCGUUCUCUCUUCUUUUUGUCGCUAUUCCCGACGUGGUUGUUAAACUCAAGUAUCUGAUGCAACGUGAAAG